UUGACAGGCCGGAGGUGGGGCCCGAGUUCCUGUCUCCAGCCCACGAUUUGCCGAUCCAUCUGUCUUCCUCAGAGAGAGAGGGCGGAUAAUGCAGACUGCGCUUCCUUGGAAGACGGCAGGCUCCAGGCCAGACAAACGAAUGUAUCAACCAUACAGAUGAAGAGCUGAGGCUCAGGGAAGGAAUUUGCCAAGGUCACGAAGCUGUAAGACACAGAACCUGGGGUGUCUGCCUGUAGAGCUCACACUGACUCUACAGCCACUGAUCCAAAGCUUCAAUGAGCAAGAGAUGAAGUGACCCCUCCAACCCCACAGCUCAGCGUCUUUCUUGAAGCUCCAACUCCAGGGCCAUUGUUUUCCUGUUCUCCCCGCUCCAAGGCCUCUCCUCUCUCCUUGGCCCAACUCUCUGACAGUGAUGCAGUUCUGAAGGCCAGACGUCCAAAAUCAGAAUGGCAUUUGCUUGAAGGAUCCAGGGGAGAAUCCCUCCUUGCUUCUUCCAGCUUCUGGUGGCUCAUGGCAAUACCUUGACUUGUAGACAUAUCCCUCCAAUCUCUACUUAUGCCUUCAUAUCACCUUCUCUUCUCUUAUGAGAACAGUUGUCAUUGGAUUUAGGACCCACCCUAAUCGAAGAUGAUCUCACAUGUAGUUUAAUUACAUCUAUAAAAUAUGCUUUUCAGUAAGGUCACUUCCGUGGUUUGAAUGCCCCCUCCAAAACUUAAUGUUGAAACUUAAUCCCCAACGUGGCAGUACUGAGAGGUGGGGCCUUUUAGAGCUGGUUGGAUUGUGAAGGUUCUGUCCUCAUGAAUGGAUUAGUUCCAUUCAUGAAUUAAUAAAUUAAUAGGCUCAUGGAUUAGUGGGUUACCAUGGGAGGGGAACUGGUGGCUUUAUAAGAGGAGGAAGAGAGACCUGGGCUAGUACAUUAAGAUUCUCAGCCCCCUUACCAUGUGGCGACCUGUGCCACCUGGGGACACUGCAGAGUCCCCACCAGCAAGAAGGCUCUCACCAGACUUAGCCCCUCAACAUUGGACUUAGCCUCCAUAACUGUAAGAAAUAAACUCCUUUUCUUCAUAAAUUACCGAGUUUCAGCUAUUCUGUUAUAAAUGACAGAAAACGACUAAGACAGUCACAUUCACAGGUUCUGGGCAGGACGUGUCUUUUGGGGGCCAUUCACCCCCAGGCUUCGUGGUGAAUGACUGACUAGAAGCAGUGCCCUCCAAGUUGGUCCUUCUGAACCCAUCAAUGACAGUGGACAGAAAAGUUGGCCACUGAUUGAACUUCAGAUCUGUCUCGAACAGGGAGCCACUGAUACCUGUGUAGGAACCAGCUCCAUCACCCGGCAUCCCAGCCAGACCCACCACUGCAAAUGUUCCUACAUUUUGCUAUUGCAUAGAAUUUCCCUUUGGGGAUUAUAAAUAUACCUUCUUGCUUAGGUUUUUACUAGAAAAAAGAGAGAGAAGCAAAACAGCAAAGCAAAGCUCAAACCCCACCAGGCUGUGUCACAAAUCUGUGUAUAAUGUUCUCCUGUUGCUCAAGGAAACACCCCCACAAAGGAGUUUUGUUGAAUGCUUUGAACUGUCCCUCAGUGUAGAGGACAUAUUAUGGGGUUGGAACAUCCAACAAUUUCUUUUUGGAAAAUAAACUGGGUCCUGGUCCGGAACAUACCCU
rnacentral:lncRNA from 10 species